rnacentral:lncRNA from 1 species
CGGAGGGCUGGAGGCGCCAGAACCAGGGGCCUGCAGGGGACAAAGGGGUUCGCAGGAAGGCAUGAGACAGCAGGAGGUCUCCUCCCCCAGGGUGUGUGGCUGGGUGGGGAGGGGUCCCAUCUGGAAAUCAAGGGCGCAAUGGAUCUAGGGUGACCAGCCCAUCCUGGCCCGCCUGAGACUUUUCCCUUUUUAGCACUAAAAGUGCCAGGGCCUUGCCUGGUGGCUCAGACCUGUAAUGCCAGCACAUUGGGAGGCUGACACCGGAGAAUCACCUGAGCCAGGAGAUUGAGCCCAGCCUGGGCAAUAUAGUGAGACUCCAUCUCUACGAAAUAAUAAAAUGAAUUACUAGCAAGGCGUGGUGGCAUGUGCCUGUGGUCCCAGCUACCAGGGAGGCUGAGGUGGGAGGAUCGCUUGAGCCCAGUAUUUUGAGGCUGCAGUGAGCCAUGAUCACACCACUGCACUGCGGCCCAGGCAACAGAGCAAGACCCUGUCUCAAAGAAGAAAAAAGUUCCACUUCCAGGGUAAGCCCACAGCCCCAGUGGGUCACUGGAAGUGGGCAGGAAACCAACAUAUAUGAGGCCAAGUGAAAUGACUCACCUUUGAAGAAGAAAGUUUCCCCUCGGAUGUUGGCGAUGGCGUCAAAAUUGCCCUCACAUCGAUCAGGGAUGGGGAAGGAUGGGCUGGGAGGAAAGGAGAGGUGAGUAGAGAGGGGGGUUUGUUUUCUCCAAGGCAGGGACCCCCACCAUCCCCAUCUCAGAGGACACUGAGGCUGGGCAGCUGGUCACCCAAGGUCACCGAGUUGGUGGGGGACUCACCUGUGUGUGGGCGAGGCCGGGGGCUGGGGCGGAGGAGCCAGGGGUUUCCUUGUGGGCUUGUCAUAUGGGGUUUGGGGCGCCUUCCCUGUGAGGAAAGAGGCAGGUGUGCGUCCCCUGGCCCUGCUGCAGAGGACGCUGGAUGGGGCAAUGACGGUUUCGCCGGCAGGUCCCUCUCCCCCUACCAUAGAGUUGCUGCAGGCCAUCGCGGUCAUCCUGAGACAGGCGGUACUUGUCAGGGUCGCCCACCGGACCCUGGUAGAAGGGCCUCAUAAUGGAGUUGGGGGCUGAGGAGUGGCCCAGGCCCAGGGCGUGGCCAAACUCAUGGACAGCCACGGCAAACAGCUCAGGCGCUCAGGACUGCCAGGACCCAGAGGAUUCACACGACAGCCCCGGCUGAAGCCCAGCUCCUCAUCAACCGGUGAGCCGCCUGCCAGCUCCUGCUCCAGCUGCUGAGAAGCCUGAAGAGACCAAGACAGAGACACAGCCCCGCAGCACCACAGGGAGGCCCCAGUUACCCCAUGCGGAUGAGUUUCAUGGCCAUCUCUAACUAAGAGGAGGAAACUGAGGCACAGAGACUUCAAGGACAGGACAUCGAUGUCAUCUGUAACUUCCAGUGCACUGGGGCACACAGCUGCAUCUCCCCAUGCUCACCUCCUGCCUCUUGCUCUGCCCAGUGUGAGGACUCAGCCUGGAUCACCUCCUCCAGGACAAGAACAACCUACCAUCAUCUGUCCGUCCAAUCUACCCACCCAUCCAUCUCUGCCUCUGGGCAUGCAUCCGUCCGUCCAUCCAUCCCCGCCUCUGUGCAUGCAUCUGUCCAUCCAUCCCCGCCUCUGUGCAUGCAUCUGUCCAUUCAUCCCCGCCUCUGUGCAUGCAUCUGUCCAUUCAUCCCCGCCUCUGUGCAUGCAUCUGUCCAUUCAUCCCCACCUCUGUGCAUGCAUCUGUCCGUCCAUCCAUCCCUGCCUCUGUGCAUGCAUCUGUCCAUCCAUCCCCGCCUCUGUGCAUGCAUCUGUCCAUCCAUCCAUCCCUGCCUCUGUGCAUGCAUCUGUCCAUCCAUCCAUCCCUGCCUCUGUGCAUGCAUCUGUCCAUUCAUCCCUGCCUCUGUGCAUGCAUCUCUCCAUCCAUCCAUCCCUGCCUCUGUGCAUGCAUCUGUCCGUCCAUCCAUCCCUGCCUCUGUGCAUGCAUCUGUCCGUCCAUUCAUCCCUGCCUCUGUGCAUGCAUCUGUCCAUUCAUCCAUCCCUGACUCUGUGCAUGCAUCUGUCCAUCCAUCCAUCCUUGCCUCUAUGCAUGCAUCUGUCCGUGCAUCCAUACCUGCCUCUGUGCAUGCAUCUGUCAGUCUAUCAAUCCCCGAUCCCUUCUUUGUAAUGGUGUUGAGUGCUCACAACUCCCUCAUCCUAAGACGCUCGUUGGAUCCAUUCCCUCCCGUCACCCCAUGCUGCUCUCUGCCCUCCCUUCCCGGUCAAGUUCUCCAGCCAGUGGUCUCAACUCAAUCUUCACUUCCCCCGCUCCUCUCACACCUAUCCCCACUGCAUUCUAAAUUCUUCCCCAACGCGCUGGGCCUACAGGCACUAAAAAGGUCACUUUGUCCCUGGAUGACCAAACACAGGCCAAUGUAACUUACUGGGCUUGUUUUGCCCCAGCCACAGCUGACCACUUCCUCCUUCACUCUUGUUGUUGAUCACCUUUGGGCUUAGUCUUUCUCCAUCUCUGUUGAGUCCUUCUCCCCUGCCACCUACUCCUUCAUGCUGGGGUUCUCUGUAGCUCUGUACCUGACAGUCACGUUCCACCCUUUCCUCCCAGAAGCUCGCCAACCCCCGUGGACUGCUGGCUCUCAAGGCGACCGCUAGCCCAGCUCCGACAGCAGCUGACAAUGCACAGUAUGCGGCCCGGGACAGGCCCUGUGCUGAGAGGCAUGGGUGAAUCGCUCAUUUCAUCGGCAAGCCCACGCCACCAGCAGGCGCCGUUCUCCUCGCAUUUCUCAGGUGAGGAACCUGAGACAAUGAGGUUAAGGAAGUUGUUCAUUACAAGUGGAAGAACCCUGACUUACUUGAAUUCAACUUUGAAGCCCACAUUCUCUUUUUGUGUGUGUGUGACAGGGUCUCACUUUGUCACCCAGGCCGCAGUGCAGUGGUGUGAACACAGCUCAUUGCAGUCUCAACCUCCCUGACUCAAGCAAUCCUCCUGCCUUAGCCUCCUGAGUAGCUGGGACUACAAGCAUGUGCCACCACGCCCAGCCGAAGCCCAUAUGUGAAUGUUGAGGCACACAGCCUCCCCAGCCUCUGCCUCACCAAGCCCUCCGCAGGGCCUAGGCACCCUCCCUGGCUGCCCCCUUCCCCUGUCACUCAGGCUCCCCAGCAGCCAAUGUAGUUAACAUGGGGCUACAAAGAGCUGGGCCUGGCCUCAGGUGGGACCGCCUCCCCGGCAUUGCCAUCCCUGCUGCAGAGCUCCCAUGCGAUCAGCCUCCUCUCCAGCUGAGACCACAUCCUCACUCAGCUUCUAGGCUGUUCCUGCUCCCCAUUCCCCUCAGCACAUGGCCCCUGAGAAACUCCUUGCACAAGAAUUUCCCUCUGGAGCCCCACCUCUGGGGAACCUGACCUCAGACAGAGGAGACCAAGCUCUAGGGCAGGAUCCUCCACCUCCCUUGCCCCACCCGUGUGGCCAGCCCGGAGCGCUGCAGACUCCCGCCCAGAUCUGCACUUGUGCCUGCCUUCUGCCAGCCUGCUCCUCCUCCUCCCACUCUCACACCUGCAUUAACAGCACCAGGACUCCAUCCUCCAAGGGCCCCAGCCUCAUCUCCCCUGUCACCAGGAUCCAGCCAGAUCUCAAUCCUAACUGAACCUCCCUCAGAUCCGUCCACUUCCCCCUUCCCCAGGACCACACUCCAUCAUCUCUUGCCUGGACCCUGCGAGAACUUCCUGCCUCCCUGCCUCUAUCCUACCCCCUGCCCCCCGCUGAAGCUGAUGAUAGUUCCGGAAUGCAAAACCCCUUAAUGAUUCCCCCAUUGAUCAAAGUCUUCCACAUGCUUUCAAGGUCCUUGGUGAUCCGGGACCUGCCGCCUUCUGCAGUCUCCCUACUGAUGCCAUAGUUUUGGCUUCUGGCCUCAUAUGUCCUGGGUCAUUUCUCUGGUCACUGGCUCCUCGUUCCCCUGACUCAGCUGGCUCACUGCUUUCCCAUUGGAUCUCAAACCCUGUGUACCUGGGGAGAGCGGAACUCUGUAUGUCUUGUCUUGUGCUAGUAGGCACUCAG